rnacentral:rRNA from 1 species
GUGGGGAAUCUUGCGCAAUGGGCGAAAGCCUGACGCAGCAACGCCGCGUGUGUGAUGAAGGUCUUCGGAUCGUAAAGCACUGUCGCGAGGGAAGAUACGCCGAUGGCCAACAUCCAUCGGCUGAGACGGUACCUCGAGAGGAAGCACCGGCUAACUCUGUGCCAGCAGCCGCGGUAAUACAGAGGGUGCGAGCGUUGUUCGGAAUUAUUGGGCGUAAAGCGCUUGUAGGCGGCCUGUCAAGUCGCGUGUGAAAUCCCCUGGCUUAACCAGGGAAGUGCGCGCGAAACUGGCGGGCUUGAGUGCCGGAGAGGGUCGCGGAAUUCCCGGUGUAGAGGUGAAAUUCGUAGAUAUCGGGAGGAACACCAGUGGCGAAGGCGGCGACCUGGACGGACACUGACGCUGAGACGCGAAAGCGUGGGGAGCAAACAGGAUUAGAAACCCUGGUAGUCC